AUGGAUUUCGAACCCUUUAGAAUGUAUAUGAAGCCUUCUUUCGCAGCAAUCCAGGGUGUAUGUUCAAGUGGAGUGUGUCGGGCGAUGGAAGUAUGGUUGUUCGCGUUUUCUGCUCAGAGCGUUUCAGUUGAACCAAUGUGGAGCGUUAAAGGAGUUGCUUACUUGUAUGAGAGGUUUGUGAGAGAUCAUAUACGAAAACCUUUAGGUUGA